rnacentral:rRNA from 1 species
CAGGCUUAACACAUGCAAGUCGAGGGGCAGCAUGAACUUAGCUUGCUAAGUUUGAUGGCGACCGGCGCACGGGUGAGUAACACGUAUCCAACCUGCCGAUGACUCGGGGAUAGCCUUUCGAAAGAAAGAUUAAUACCCGAUGGCAUAGUUCUUCCGCAUGGUGGAACUAUUAAAGAAUUUCGGUUAUCGAUGGGGAUGCGUUCCAUUAGGCAGUUGGUGAGGUAACGGCUCACCAAACCUUCGAUGGAUAGGGGUUCUGAGAGGAAGGUCCCCCACAUUGGAACUGAGACACGGUCCAAACUCCUACGGGAGGCAGCAGUGAGGAAUAUUGGUCAAUGGGCGCAGGCCUGAACCAGCCAAGUAGCGUGAAGGAUGACUGCCCUAUGGGUUGUAAACUUCUUUUAUAUGGGAAUAAAGUUUUCCACGUGUGGAAUUUUGUAUGUACCAUAUGAAUAAGGAUCGGCUAACUCCGUGCCAGCAGCCGCGGUAAUACGGAGGAUCCGAGCGUUAUCCGGAUUUAUUGGGUUUAAAGGGAGCGUAGGUGGACAGUUAAGUCAGUUGUGAAAGUUUGCGGCUCAACCGUAAAAUUGCAGUUGAUACUGGCUGUCUUGAGUACAGUAGAGGUGGGCGGAAUUCGUGGUGUAGCGGUGAAAUGCUUAGAUAUCACGAAGAACUCCGAUUGCGAAGGCAGCUCACUAGACUGUUACUGACACUGAUGCUCGAAA